UGCAUUUAAACUAAAUAAACAUUUGGAGCAUAAGAGAUGAUAUUUGCAUACUGGGUGAGCACAAGAAUCACGUGCUCAUAAUUUGCACCCCAACCGGAAGAAUGGCAUUGGAAUUGGCGUGAAACAAAUGCACGCUUCUGGAGUACACCGAACAAGGAUCUUUUUUUAUUACGGCGUUGUAUGUUCGUUAAGUGUACGUUAUAUUUGCUGCCGACUAAUUUAGUCGACACUGUUUUUAAGAUGAACGUGCUGCGUUGAACGCGAUUAGAUUAAUCGUGACUGAUUUAAACCACAAGGGAGAAUCUGUUUCACAAACCUGCUGCACAGGGUCACUGUAGAUUUCAGAAUCUUAUUUGCUGACCAGACUUUGACAUCUGUCUGCCAUGAGGUUUGCAGUGGCACUGCGUGCUGUUGCUUUGUUACUUCUGUUGGGCUUUACCUGGCUUCUAGCAAAUUCUAUGCUAGGAGGGGAUGGGAACUCCUUUAUGCGGAUGCUAUUUAGUGGUAAGAAUGUUACAUGUAUUAGUAGAUGUAUUGGUGG